GAUGAACGCUGGCUACAGGCUUAACACAUGCAAGUCGAGGGGAAACGACGGGGAAGCUUGCUUCCCCGGGCGUCGACCGGCGCACGGGUGAGUAACGCGUAUCCAACCUGCCUCUGACUGAGGGAUAACCCGUCGAAAGUCGGCCUAAUACCUUAUGGCAUCGUCUGCGGGCAUCCAACGACGAUUAAAGAUUUCAUCGGUCAGAGAUGGGGAUGCGUCUGCUUAGCUUGUUGGCGGGUUAACGGCCCACCAAGGCGACGAUAAGUAGGGGUUCUGAGAGGAAGGUCCCCCACAUUGGAACUGAGACACGGUCCAAACUCCUACGGGAGGCAGCAGUGAGGAAUAUUGGUCAAUGGGCGAGAGCCUGAACCAGCCAAGUAGCGUGCAGGAGGACGGCCCUAUGGGUUGUAAACUGCUUUUAUGCGGGGAUAAAGUGAGGGACGUGUCCUUCAUUGCAGGUACCGCAUGAAUAAGGACCGGCUAAUUCCGUG
rnacentral:rRNA from 1 species